rnacentral:lncRNA from 1 species
UCCACCUCUUUCUCUCGCACCCCUUCAAUGCCACUGCCAUCGGAUUGUCUGCAGAUAGAGAUGGAGUCGUCGACGAAGGGAUCUCAAAGGAGGAGAUCAAGAGCUCCAGAUACGAAGACGUCGGCGGAUCGUCUGAAGAUGGAGAUCAAGAGAGAGGUCGAUGGAUUAAGAGAAGAAGAUUAGGGUCGUUCGGAGAUAAGAAGAGGGGUCGACGG